CCGACGGUGAGAGAUGAAAGCUGGGGGAGCAAACCGGAUUAGAUACCCGGGUAGUCCCAGCCGUAAACGAUGUGCGUUAGGUGUAUCGGUGACCACGAGUCACCGAGGUGCCGAAGAGAAAUCGUGAAACGUACCGCCUGGGAAGUACGGUCGCAAGGCUGAAGCUUAAAGGAAUUGGCGGGGAGCACCACAACAGGUGGAGCCUGCGGUUUAAUCGGACUCAACGCCGGGAAACUCACCAGAUAAGACAGCUGAAUGAUAGUCGGGCUGAAGACUCUACUUGACUAGCUGAGAGGAGGUGCAUGGCCGUCGUCAGUUCGUACUGUGAAGCAUCCUGUUAAGUCA
rnacentral:rRNA from 1 species